rnacentral:rRNA from 1 species
GGGGAAAUGGCGGGCGUGCUAUACAUGCAAGUCGAGCGAACUGAUUAGAAGCUUGCUUCUAUGACGUUAGCGGCGGACGGGUGAGUAACACGUGGGCAACCUGCCUGUAAGACUGGGAUAACUUCGGGAAACCGAAGCUAAUACCGGAUAGGAUCUUCUCCUUCAUGGGAGAUGAUUGAAAGAUGGUUUCGGCUAUCACUUACAGAUGGGCCCGCGGUGCAUUAGCUAGUUGGUGAGGUAACGGCUCACCAAGGCAACGAUGCAUAGCCGACCUGAGAGGGUGAUCGGCCACACUGGGACUGAGACACGGCCCAGACUCCUACGGGAGGCAGCAGUAGGGAAUCUUCCGCAAUGGACGAAAGUCUGACGGAGCAACGCCGCGUGAGUGAUGAAGGCCUUCGGGUCGUAAAACUCUGUUGUUAGGGAAGAACAAAUUUGAUAGUAACUGCUCGUACCUUGACGGUACCUAACCAGAAAGCCACGGCUAACUACGUGCCAGCAGCCGCGGUAAUACGUAGGUGGCAAGCGUUAUCCGGAAUUAUUGGGCGUAAAGCGCGCGCAGGCGGUUUCUUAAGUCUGAUGUGAAAGCCCACGGCUCAACCGUGGAGGGUCAUUGGAAACUGGGGAACUUGAGUGCAGAAGAGAAGAGCGGAAUUCCACGUGUAGCGGUGAAAUGCGUAGAGAUGUGGAGGAACACCAGUGGCGAAGCGGCUUUUUGGUCUGUAACUGACGCUGAUGCGCGAAAGCGUGGGGAGCAAACAGGAUUAGAUACCCUGGUAGUCCACGCCGUAAACGAUGAGUGCUAAGUGUUAGAGGGGUUUCCGCCCUUUUAGUGCUGCAGCUAACGCACUAAAGCACUCCGCCUGCGGGAGUACGAUCGGCAAGGAGUGAAACUCAAAGGAAUUAGACGGGGGCCCGCACAAAGCGGUGGAGCAAUGUGGUUUAAUUCGAAGCAACGCGAAGAACCUUACCAAGUCUGACAUCCUCUGACAACUCUAGA